AAAAUAUUGGGUUCUUUAUCAGAUGGUAGGAGGGACAAUAUUAAUUAGAACUGCACCUACCAGUUACCUUGUCACACUCUCCCUGAGUCUCCUGAUCCUGUUUAUAAAAUGGGAACACAUUUUGGUUUGGCCAUAAUUCCCUAUUCUCAACCUCCACAUAUGAGUAUGAGAGUACUACAAAUAUCAUCAGCUCCACUCUACGGACUCUGAGUCCAGCCCUGGAUCUAAUCCUAUAGCCACAACUUCAGAAACAUGCUCAUGCAGAUACAAAUCAGCUUAAAGUGGCAUUGAGGAAUACCAGCACAUGAACAGAUGCUCACCAUCACCAGCCAUGUGGCAAAUGCAAAUCAAACACAGUGAGAUAGCACUUCACGCCCACUAGGAUGGUUAUAAUCAAAAUGACAGAUAAUGACAAGUAUUGACAAGGACAUGGGGAAACUGGAAUCCUCACACACUGAUGUAGGAAUGUAAAAUGGUGCAGCUGUGGCUGGGUGCGGUGGCUCACGCCUAUAAUCCCAGCACUUUGGGAGCCCGAGGCAGGUGGAUCACCUGAGGUCAGGAGUUCAAGACCAGCCUGGCUAACAUGGUGAAACCCCACCUCUACUAAAAAUACAAAAAUUCGCCAGGCGCGGUGGCGGGCACCUGUAUAAUCUCAGCACUCAGGAGGCUGAGGUAGGAGAAUCGCUUGAACCUGGGAGGCAGAGGUUGCAGUGAGCCGAGAUCACACCAUUGCACUCCAGCCUGGGCAACAAGAGCAAAACUCCGUCUCAAAAAAAAAAAAAAAAAAAAAAAGGUGCAGUUCCUAAAAACAUUAAACAUACAGUUACCACAUGACCCAGCAAUUCCAAAUCCUAGGCACAUAUAUCCAACAGCGUCAAAGCACAUGCCCACACAGAAACUUGUAUGCAAAUGUUCAUAGCAGCUUUAUCCUAGUAGCCAGAAGGUGGAAAUAGCCCAAAUAUUCAACUGAUGGAUAAACAAAACAUGGUAUAUUCAAACAAGGGAAUACUAUCGAACAGUAAAAAGAAAUGAAGUGGCUGGGCACGGCGGCUCACGCCUGUAAUCCUAGUGUUACCAGAAAGGGGUCCUGAUCCAGACCCCAAGAGAGAAUUCAGGGUGAGUCCAUAGAGUAAAGUCAAAAGUCUGUUUAUUAGGAAAGUAAUGGAAAAAAAAGUCUACUUCAUAGGCAGAACAGCGGCAUGGGCUGCUCGACUGAGUAUACUUAUAGUUGUUCCUUGAUUAUAUGGUAAACAAGGGAUGGAUUAUUCAUGAGUUUUCCAGGAAAGGGGCAUGGAUUUCUUGGGACUGAGGGUCCCUCCCCACUUUAGACCAUAAAGGGUAACUUCCAGAAGUUGUAAACUGUCACCGUGCUGGUGGGAGUGUCUUUUAGCAUGCUAAUACAUUAUAAUUAGUAUAUAAUGAGCAAUGAGGAUGACCAGAGGUCACUCGUCACCAUCUUGGUUAUGGUGGGAUUUGGCCAACUUCUUUACCACAGACUUUUAUCAAUCAGCAAGGUCUUUGUGACCUUUAUCUUGUGCCAACCUCCUGUCUCAUCCUAUGACUAAGAAUGCCUAACCUCCUGGGAAUGCAGCCCAGCAGGUCUCAGCCUUAUUUUACCCAGCCCCUAUUCAAAAUGGAGUUGCUCUGGUUUGAACACCUCUGACACCAGCACUUUGGGAAACUGAGGCAGGUGAGUCACUUGAGUCCAGGAGUUCGACACCAGUCAUGGUGAAACCCCAUCUGUACUAAAAAAAUGCAAAAAUUAGCCGGGCAUGGUGGUGCAUGCCUAUAAUCUCAGCUACUUAGGAGGUUGUGGUGGGAGGGUUGCUUCAGCCUGGGAGGUCGAGGCUGCAGUGAGCCAUGACUGCCUCACUGCACUCUGGCCUGGGUGACAGAUAGACAUCCUGUUUCAAAAAAUAAAAAUAAAAAAAUAAAAAAGAAAUGAAGCACUGAUGCCUGCUAUAACAUGAAUGAACCUGGAACACACUGUGCUAAGUGAAAGAAGCCAGACAAAAGGCCCAAUAUUGUAUGAUUUCAGUGAAAUGUACAGAACAGGCAAAUCUAUAGAUAGGAAAGUACUUGCCAGGGGCUGGGGCUAAAAGAACUGUCAGGGUAAUUGAAGUGACUGUUAAUGAGCGUGAAGUUUCUUUUUGGGGUGAUGACAGUGUUUUGGAAUAGAUAUUGGUGAUGGUUGCAUAACCUCUGAAUACCACUGAGAUGGUGAAUUUUACGGCAUGUGAGUUAAAUCUUAAAAAAAAAGAGAAAUAAAUUGCCUUAAAUGGGGCUGAUCUAAAAUCCGUUUUAGUCACCUAAGCUAAAUUUUGCCAUAAUUACAAGAAUGGCUAUGUGUCGUGUUAGAAUGGGAAGCUGUCUUUGUGGUAUCAUUGCAUUAUAUGUAUUAACUGACACAUUUAAAUCUUCAGAAACUCUUGAGAUAGAUUCCGUCAUUUCCAUUGAAGAAGAAAUGGCACCACUUCAAGGUCAAGUAACUUGCCCAAGACCACACAGUAGAAGCUAUGGUAGAAAUCCUGGUUCACCAGACUCAGUGUGCAGUCUGCAAAUUGUUUGCAUGUCUGCAUACCCAGUAGGUGGAUGCUCCUUAAGGACAGCAACCAUCUUUUCUUUUUUUUUUUUUUGGAGUGAAAUGGCACAGUCACUGCUCACUGCAGCCCUGACCUCCCAGGCUCAAAUGAUCCUCCCUCCUCAGCCUCUGGAGUAGCUGGGACUACAGUCACAUGCCACCAUGACCUGCUAAUUUUUAGGCUUUUUGUAGAGACAGGAGUCACCUAUGUUGCCCAGGCUAGUCUCAAACUCCUGGGCUCAAGCAAUCCCCCCACCUCGACCUUCCUAAAGUGCUGGGAUUACAGACAUGAGCCACUGCGUCUGGCCUCUUCAUUUUACCUCAAACCCUGGUAGUAUCUGGCCAGUACGGAUGUAAUGAUAAUUAAAUUUAUUCAUUCAUCGAAUGAAUACACUGGAAUACGGUGUACAGUGGUACACUGGUUUGUACCACUGGGGACACAGCCAUGAAUAAGACAACUUCCUAGCGAGCAAAAAUGCAUCACUUUAGGUAGCAAAAGUUGACAUCCAUGAAAACAAAGGAGAGGGAAUUAGGGAAGUGUCUGAGGCAAACCAAGUAAAGAAACAAGCAAUAAGAGCAGGAGUGCCUUCCAAGAUAAAGGCACAGUGGGCACGGUACAAAAAUCUCUGAAAGAGAAGUCAGCUUUUUGGAAAAAAAGGAAGACAGGGUGGCCAGCAUGGCUUGAGUAGACUGCUGAGUGACAAUAAAGUUGCCAAAGCCAAUUUGGCCCAAUCCUAUUAGAACUUGCAGGCCAUAGUAAGAAAUCUGCGUUUUAUUCUAAAACAGCUUUCUGAGGAUUUUUAGCAGACCUGUGAUCUGACUUGGGCUGUAGGGAACAGCAUGCACGGGUAUUGGGGAGUGGACAGUAUGGCCACUGAUUGUAAGGACUCUUCAAUUUUGAAUAAAUCACAGUGACAGGCACUGAAAUGGACUGAGAUCAGGAUCGUAUAAAAAAUCCUAUUUUGGACAUGUUAAUUUUGGUAUGCCUUUUAUGGUAUUAUGGCCGGAUGUGGUGCCUCAUGCCUAUAAUCCCAGCACUUUGGGAGCCCGAGGCAGGCGGAUCACUUGAGGUCAGGAGUUCGAGACAGCCUGGCCAAUAUGGUGAAGCCCCGUCUCUACUAAAAAUAAAAAAUUAGCAGCCAGGCACGGUGGCUCACGCCUGUAAUCCCAGCACUUUGGGAGGCCGAGGCGGGUGGAUCACCUGAGGUCAGGAGUUUAAGAGCAGCCUGGCCAACUUGGCGAAACCUUGUCUCUACUAAAAAUACAAAAAAUUAGCCGGGUGUGGUGGCGGGCACCUGUAGUCCCAGCUACUCGGGAGGCUGAGGCAGGAGAAUGGCGUGAACCCAGGAGGCGGAGCUUGCAGUGAGCCGAGAUCGCGCCAUUGCACUCCAGCUUGGGCAACAGAGCGAGACUCCGUCUCAAAAAAAAAAAAAAAAUUAGCCAGGCAUGGUGGCGGGUGCCAGUAAUCUCAGCUACUAGGGAGGCCGAGAUGGGAGAAUUGCCUGUACCUGGGAGGGGGAGGUUGCAGUGAGCUGAGAUCGCGCCACUUGAACUCCAGUCUGGGCGACAGAGCAAGACUCCGUCUCAAAAAAAAAAAAAAAAAAAAAAUUAGCUGGGCAUAGUGGCAUGGUGGUAGGCCCUUGUAGUCCUAGCUACUCGGGAGGUUGAGGCAGAAUUGCUUGAACCCGGGAGGCAGAGGUAACAAUGAGCCGAGAUCGCACUACUGCACUCCAGCCAGGCAACAGAGGGAGGCUCUGUCUCAUAUAAAUAAAUAAAAUAAAUGGCAUUAUCAAGCAGGUAGCUCAACAGGAGCCUAGCUCAGGGAGAAGUUUGAACUGGAGAUUAAACACCUCAAACAUAAAGAUGACACUUAAAAUCACGAGACUAGGGAUUAAGUAUAGGGAAGGCAACCAAGCACAAAAAAAGGCAUACUACAUCACUGCAUGUUUAAAAGGACCCUUUAGAGACAAAAGUUAGUGAGGUAGGAGGACGACUAGUGUUGCUUAAAAGAACACGAGUGUGAGUCAACAGAGUGAGUGAUUGAGCCCAAUCCUGCAGAGGUCUAAUAAAAUAAGGAUUCAGAACUGAUUGUUCAAUUUGGCAAAAGGCAGGCUAUGGCUAAUCUUUUUUUUUUUUUUUUUUU
rnacentral:lncRNA from 10 species